CUCAUACUAUCCAGAAUUACCAUGAAAUCUUCCAAUGGAGAAAAUCAAUCAGCAGUCCUACCCAGUUCUAAUACUUACAAAUCUACCUAACUACCCAUGGGUUGUGAGGUGAGGGGCCCUAGACAAGAAGCUACUACUUCCACUGUCUUAGACUAGUAUAGUUUUAAAUUACAUUCUAAUUACUUACCUUUAUACAUACAGAUAUAUGUAUUUCUCUUUCUCAUCAACAACACAGAUGAUUGUAGAAAUCCACAACUAGUUAAUGUGUAAAGAGCCCAACCUCAGGUGAUUGUCAAUAACACAACCUCUAUACCUAAAACUCAGGGAACAACAUGGGAGAGGGUACAGAAAGAAUCUGAGAACCAUGGCAUCCACUGUGAAAUACAGACUUAUCUGGGACAGAGAAACAGAACCUAAUGUCAUCGCCUAAAUAAGACCUUCACAAAGACAACACCAGUUGGCCUGCUAGUGUGGACUGGGGAAAUCUCACAUCUUCCCCUGGAGGAACAGCUACAGACAAAAGGGACUCCCAAGACAGAAUCAAUCUUCUACUGCAAUAAGCUACCGGAAAGGCUAUCAAUCCCAAGUUUUCAGAUUUGAUCUGGGCUGCCAGUGAGCCAUCUGCACAAAAUGAGAGCAGUCUGCUGAAGCUGUCCAUGCAGGUGACAGAGGGAUGCCAUUUCAAGAUAAGAUGGGACAUGCACUGUAUGAUGGACUUUACAUCGACUAUGGGAUCAGCCUGGAUGCAAAUGUGUCAUACUCAUACAAGCAGGACUUAAAUAAUCAUUACCUAUAUUUCAUUUCAAUGUAUUCAUUUUAAAAAGAUAUUAAAUAACCAUUUUCUGCAAAAUUUCAUUUGUUUUUUCAUAUAUUAAUUCAAUUGUAAGCAGACUGUCUACAGCCUCCCAGAUACUUGAAAAGGGAUAUGAGUAUGUCAACAAAAUGGAACUAACAGCUUGGACUGGAGAGAAAUAUAAGGAAUUAAGUGGAGAAUUACAGAGACAAUACACAGAUCAGGACCUAAUAGAGCUGGCGGUGAAGUACACUCAGUAGAACUGGUGGGAGAACAUGUUGGAGAUGCUGACAUUGCUACUGAGAUUUUGGAGAUUAGGGAAAUUUGAUGGGUUAAGAGAGGAUUGAUAAUAUUCCAGGAACUCUGAAUGUCAGGACUGUAGCAUUACCCGGCAAUCACACACUCUUCACUGCAUCUGGAACAUAGGAAUUGAUAGUCAUGAGUACAGAAGUGCUGGGAGAUGAAGAGCUAGAUCAGAUGCCAAAGGUGCAGGAAUUGAAAGUACUAUAGAACUUGAAGACAAGUAUCUUCAACAUGAUGUUCACAGCAUCUGUAGCAACAGGAUGCUUUAUUUGAAAAUGAGCAAGGAUCACGCCUUAGAGAGGCUUAGGAAUUCAAAGUCAUGUGGCUGGAAAUAAGAAAUGUGCUUUCCCAUGGUACUAUGUUCAGCUACUUGGGAGGACUUUUAAAGUAUUGUAAAACAGAAAGAUAGCAUGCUCAGUGUGAAGUGAUGUUCAAAAAAACAAAAGUACAGGUGAAGGAGAAAGACUGAGUAAAAUGCAAAGUAGAAAAGAAGGAGGAGGAGAAUGGCAAACUAGAUUUUCAAACAUAGUUCAGGUGAAAAACACACUGGCUGUGCCCUUUGGAUAUAUGGAAACAUAGGAAUUCCACAGGGCCUGGUGAUCCAGUAAAAAUUGUUGUUGCAAAAGAUCUUUGUGAGAGUAAGUUUGAAGAAGUUAAAAAAUAUCUACUGUCUCUUUGCUUGAUACUAAACUAACCCUCCAACCUUAGGAAUAGAGAAGGCUGAAGGCCAAUAGAUAGCGAGAUAUUGUGAAUGCAAUUGGUGGAACCAUCCUUAAAUACAGAGAAGAGCCAAUGCUGGUAGUACUGAGGUAGCAAGAAAGCCAAAAGUAUAAUGACAGGCAUUCAGAUCCAUAAAGAAUUCUGAGAUGCAAUCGACAACAAAUAAGACAAGAAAACAAAUAGCUCACAAAAGCAAAGGUAGAAAACUGUUUUUAAUGCUUAACUGAAAUUGAAAAAAUAAGC